GAUGAACGCUGGCGGCGUGCUUAACACAUGCAAGUCGAACGAUGAAGCCCAGCUUGCUGGGUGGAUUAGUGGCGAACGGGUGAGUAACACGUGAGCAACCUGCCCCUGACUCUGGGAUAAGCGCUGGAAACGGCGUCUAAUACUGGAGAUGUCCCGUCACCGCAUGGGGUGCGGGUGGAAAGAUUUUUCGGUUGGGGAUGGGCUCGCGGCCUAUCAGCUUGUUGGUGAGGUAAUGGCUCACCAAGGCGUCGACGGGUAGCCGGCCUGAGAGGGUGACCGGCCACACUGGGACUGAGACACGGCCCAGACUCCUACGGGAGGCAGCAGUGGGGAAUAUUGCACAAUGGGCGGAAGCCUGAUGCAGCAACGCCGCGUGAGGGAUGACGGCCUUCGGGUUGUAAACCUCUUUUAGCAGGGAAGAAGCGAAAGUGACGGUACCUGCAGAAAAAGCACCGGCUAACUACGUG
rnacentral:rRNA from 1 species